rnacentral:lncRNA from 1 species
AACACAAAGAAUUAUUAGAGAUCCUAUAAAGAAAUUAUAAAGAAAUUAUAUAGAAAUCCAAAAAAUAUAUAUUAAUAUAGAAAUCUUAAUAAAAUAUUAAAAUAAAAACCUUAAUUAAAUCCUAGUCAAAAUCUAAUCAAACCUUAAUCAAACCUUAGUCAAACCUUAAUCAAAUCUUUAUCAAAUCUUAGUCAAUUCCUAAAUAAGCCUUAACCAAAUCAUAGAUAAAUUCUAGUCAAAUCCUAGUCAAAUCCUAAUCAAAUCUUAAAUCCUAAAUCCUAAAAUUCUAAUCAAAUCCUAAUCAAAUCCUAAAUAAAUCCUAAUAAAAUCCUAAAUAAAUCUUAGUCAAAACUUAGACAAAUCCUAAAUAAGUCCUAAUCAAACCCUAUUCAAAUUCUAAUCAAAUCCUAAACAAAUUCCAACCAAAUCCUAAUCAAAUCCUAAAUAAAUCUUAAUCAAAUCCUAAGUAAAUCCUAACCAAAUCCUAAUCAAACCCUAGUCAAAUCCUAAAUAAACCCUAAAUAAGUCCUAACCUAAACCGAAUCCUAAUCCUAACCAAACCUUAAAUCAAU